rnacentral:rRNA from 1 species
UAGCUGGUCUGAGAGGAUGGCCAGCCACAUUGGGACUGAGACACGGCCCAAACUCCUACGGGAGGCAGCAGUGGGGAAUCUUGCGCAAUGGGCGAAAGCCUGACGCAGCCAUGCCGCGUGGAUGAUGAAGGUCUUAGGAUUGUAAAAUCCUUUCAGCGGGGACGAUAAUGACGGUACCCGCAGAAGAAGCCCCGGCUAACUUCGUGCCAGCAGCCGCGGUAAUACGAAGGGGGCUAGCGUUGCUCGGAUUUACUGGGCGUAAAGGGCGCGUAGGCGGACAGUUAAGUUGGGGGUGAAAGCCCGGGGCUCAACCUCGGAAUUGCCUUCAAUACUGGCUGUCUUGAGUGUGAGAGAGGUGUGUGGAACUCCGAGUGUAGAGGUGAAAUUCGUAGAUAUUCGGAAGAACACCAGUGGCGAAGGCGACACACUGGCUCACUACUGACGCUGAGGCGCGAAAGCGUGGGGAGCAAACAGGAUUAGAUACCCUGGUAGUCCACGCUGUAAACGAUGAGUGCUAGUUGUCGGGCGGCAUGCCGUUCGGUGACGCAGCUAACGCAUUAAGCACUCCGCCUGGGGAGUACGGUCGCAAGAUUAAAACUCAAAGGAAUUGACGGGGGCCCNCACAAGC